CUGUUUACCUAUAUCUAUAUCUAUAUCUAUAUAUACAUCUUCAUGUUUCCCUGUAUGAGAAUCAAAUCAUAUUUAGUAUGAAUUAAUUAAAAGAAGAGAGAAAAACUAAUAGAUCGAUCAUCGAUGGGGAAAAUGAUUAUGUUUAUAGUCUUUAUGGCAGUUUUCUUGCUAAUCUUAAUCAUUUGGCUAAUCCACUUUCUCUACAACAAAACUAAGAAAGAUGGCGGCAAGAUAAGAACCAGUUGCCACCCCUUCGGCUAUGACGACGGCGUCUGAUGUCACCAACAACAACCUUUGCGUAUCUUUAUGGAAUGCAUCAUUAAACUCUACUCUCUUUGUGGAAACCAUUAUCCUAAUUCUUAUUUGUAUAAUUGUAUGUAAUCUAUGAAUAUAUUUAAUAUCAUUAUUUCAAAACCAAUUACAG